UGCUCAUCAAUCAUAGUGCAAGGGCAG
rnacentral:piRNA from 1 species